UCAGUUAAAAUCCUGAUAAUCAUGAAAAGUUUACAUUUGAGUUUUGCAACAACGCACCGAAAUACAGUAACAGCAAUAAUACUAAUAAUAAACUAGGAUUUAAGUUUUGAACAUAUAAAGUAAAUAAAUUAGUUGUCAUCAGUGCAGAAACUAUGAUCCACUAACUAUAUGUAACCCUGGUUAAAUAAUUUUUACAAAUAUUAUUUAUUUGUAUGUUACUUGGAUAUAAUAUGAUUUUUCAUACAUGUGAAACUCUGCAUAAAAAUACAUCUAUAUAAAUAUAUGUAUAUUUUAUUGGAGUUUAGAAAUGAGUAACAACAAAUCAGAGCGCUGGGUUGUUGGCCCCGCCUCCUUGCUUACUGAUCGCGUUGCUCAGAUCACAAUGGAAGGCAGAUGCAGAGUGAUGGAGAAAUGUUAUCUGACGCGAGAGCGUAAAAAUAGAAACAUAUGUUCCUUAAACUGUUAAAAGUUCACAAAAACCAAAUAAAUCAGAGGGUAACCACACGAUAUUGGAUGAUCCAGUGUGAUUGUGCCGAUCGGGCAUUUCAGAGGUUACAAUUUGACUCGUGUGGUUGUCUCAGGCCGCAUGGUGUAUUAAGUGUCCAUCACUGACGCCAUUUUGAGCGCGCGUGCCUGUGAAAAAAAAAGAAAGACGUGAAUGAACAGGUAAUUGAAUAUAAUGUCAUUUACUAUGAUGAUGGUAUUCAUGUAUGUAUUGUAUUUGCAUUCUAUGUUAUGUAAUUAAUUGUAACGCAUUAUUGAUAUGCAAUAUUGAAUGCAUAUUCUGGUCUGUGAUCAGGCCAGGGUUUUUUUUUUUUUAUUUGUGAAUGUUUUGUUCAAGAUGGAUUUCCUUAAUUGAUGGCGAGCCACCCACUUCGAUUCUGAAAGGAUCAAGAGCUUAGAGGAAAGGACCAUUUUCAGUUCUAUUAUUUCUUCCUGAGAUAAGUAAGAGAACUCAUUUACAGAGACUGAUAUAGGCCUAUAUUACUAUUUUCUUCAAUUUGUGUUCCAUUGAAUACAUUGAUUGUGAUUGUGAUUACUGGUAUAUGAAAACUUAUUCAGAGGGUGCACCCAGGAUAUAGUUAUUUGUUUUUCAUUUUGUUUUGUUUUUUAUAUUGUACUUUGUUUAUGUGAUUGAGAGAAAAAAAACACUAAAGGAAAAAAAUCACUGAACUCAAAGUAAAGUGUAUUGGUUCAACUUACCUUCUGUCUCUGCCUGUUACUCAGUAUCACCACCACCUGCUUUUACGUACCGCACAGUCUUCUGAUUUAAUAUUCCUGGUCUGUUAGUUAUCGAGUUAAUAUCCGCUACAUAUACAUAAUCCAUUGCGAUGUAUUUGUUAUUAAAUAAACUUACGUUUCGCCAGAUUGCCCUUCAUCCAAGCCCUCGGAUUACAUAACAUUAGUACAGAAUCAGUUCAGAAUCAAUCACCAAAAGAAUCAGUUUGGUUCAGACGCUCUGUGUGUCAGUCUGCUUCACGCUGAAUCAUACAUGCGCAGUAUCAUCAGUUCCUCGGCUCUCGAAUCUGACAUGUCUGAAAAAAACGGUUUUUGGUUCAGUGUACUGAUUUUUCGAAAACCGAUGCAACCGGUUCUUGACUCGAGUACGAGAAUCACUCUAACCGGCAUGUGCUGCAGUUCAGUUUAAUCAGCUGCUCUACUCGAGUUCAUGUUCUGUUUACUACAAACUCAAUUUGUGAAUGUGUCAUCAUUAACUAUAUAUAUACAGUACAGAUAUUUCAUAAAUCAUCCCUUAUUCCUAUUAAACAUAGAGUCUUAAUUAAUA
rnacentral:lncRNA from 1 species